rnacentral:lncRNA from 1 species
CUAUUUUAGGCUCAAAGUGGUGUCCAGAGCUGACGGCGCAUACUCUGUUGCCUCGCCAGAGCUGAAGUCCAUUCGUUAGAGUGGAUUUCUUGUGCCAGAGCCAGAGCCGAGCUCCAGAACUGACCAAUCUCGACAGAGCGGACUUUCCAGACUUCCAUGGCCAGAGCUGACAUUCAUGUGUGCAGAGCUAAAUCUACAGAGCU